ensembl:lncRNA
GAAAAGACAGGAGAUUCCAGUCCUUCUGCAGAGGCUUUCUCCAAGCCCCCAGUACACUCAGCACCUCCCCCAGCCCUUGGUGGCUGGGGACCUGGCCUGGCUCUUGGGCAGCUGCUGGCAGCAAGGAGCAGAGACAUUUAGCCUUCAGCGGGGCCCGGGGCCAGACUUCGACCAAGAGGACAUCAGAGGACAUAGCCUCAGAGAGACCAAGCCCCAGACAGCCUGAGACAGACCAACUGAAACACAGCGCCAGGCCCGUGGAAGGAGAAAAGGAAAUGGAGGAUGAGAAUAAGCAGAAAAAAGGGAAGAAUUAAAGAAAAGAAGGAAAGCAAGAGGAAAAGAGAUAGGAGAGCAGGGAAAGGAAGGCAUGCAGAGACCAAGGAGGAGGAAGGGCAGCAAUACGCAGGAAGGACGCAACGGGGCAGGGCUUGAGCUGGUGCUGGCGGAGCAGAGCAGCCGUGGCAUUGUGCAGUCUGCUUGCUUGCUGGGCCUUUGCCGAGGGACCAGCUCUGGGGCGCGGCAGCCACUUCUGUCUGGACACAAAGGAGGAAGAGGCCUCCUUUCCUGUCCCUCUUGGGGACCUGGCUCUGGUGGGUAUACUAGGCCUCUGGGACACAGAAUCCUACAUUGGCCCAAGCAACCGCCUAGGCAGCAGGGGACUGAACAUGCUCUAGUCAAGAAGCAGCGAAGAAACAGAAGAGGAAAGAGGUUUUUUGCGUCUUUACCAGGUUACAGGGCCUGUCUGCCUCAAUCUCAGCUUCCCUAGAGGAAAGAGUCCUUAAGGAUCCUCUCCUAUGGGCCUCUGCUAUUUGGGAGAGCCCCUCCAAUAGACUUGGUGGCUGUAAAGAGAUGUCUCUUCUCUCCUAUCCCCUUUGAACACGGCCUUCUUUUCAACUCCUGAGCUCCCUGUGAACCAGGCCUGCUACCCUGCGGAGGCACAGCAGCCAGGCUGUCAGGAUCACUGUCCAGGGAUCCCUGUUGCCAUCAAAUCCUCCAGGAAACAAACCAAGAGGGAAUUGCAGCCUUCCCUUCCUUUUGGAAGCAGGAACUCUGGACUCUCCCCACUCAGGCACAGGCACAGCUGUGGAUCAUGAAGCAGGCCUUGUCCACAGAGCCCUCCUGGCCAAUGCCUCAUUUCCCCCAUGCCUCACAGAGAGGGGCAGCUGUGAGGAGGGGGCCUUACAGAGCCUGGGAGACCCCUGGAGAGCCUGGUCCACUAGGCCCAGGUCCUACAGGUUCCAGAACUGCAUGUGGGCUGUAGCCUCCAUUCUCCACAUUUGAAAGCAGAAUGGCAGGUCAGGGGUCUGAAGCAGGCUUUCAGGCUUCCCCUAAAUCCAGGCUUGUUAGGUGUGGGAGCAAAAGGAUGGGGGGGCAAAAGGGAGAAUCUCAUCUUCUUGGAGUUCAGUUACUCCUGCUGGAUCUCCUACCAUACUCCAGGACUCAUCUUCACCACUUCUUCAAUUUUCCUUAGCACUCCUGGGGAACCUGAGGGACCUGAGGCGCUGGGAGUCCCUGUUGGGAGGCGGGGAAACUCCAGCUCUGGCUAGCAGCUCUGUACUGCUCUGCUUCUUAGCGGUCCCCUCCCACGCCCAGAGGAUUUCACUGGGCACCGGAGAGUCCGCUAAGGGGGAGUGGCACCUUUCCUGCAUCACCUCAAACCUGGACAGCUGAGACCACAAUCAAGCUAGCAUCGCGGGAAGGACAGACAGAAAGACAGUUAAGGCCUGCGCUGGAAGCAGAAACUGAGUUUUCCUGCCCUGCCGCGAGAAGACCCACGUCCUGCCCCCACCCCAGGUGGGUAUCCCGGAUCCCUGCACACUAGGAGUCAGGCCCCCAAACCCAGCAGGAGUGAAACCCCCUGGGCCUGUGAACGUGGCCCUCUCAACGCCACGGCCUGCCGGGCCUGCCUUUCCGCCGGAGCCCCCGCCCUGCCGCUCCGCAGCAAACGGGGCUAUUUCCGGCUCCCCCAACACGGUCUGGUUUCCCAGCCCGGGGAGUGGCUGAAGGGGGAGCCGCCCCAGAGCUAGGGCUGCUCUCUCCCCGGAGUUUCAAUGGCCCUGAGCACGCUGUUACCUGAUCUUUUGUGUGAUGUAUGUGUCGCAAGGAAAUUUGCAGUGACUUUGGAGCCCAGACUGAGGAAGCCGAGGUGGCGAAAGGAGAGACAAUACGGUCCCGAAGUACAAUUAAGGAGCCAGAGCUGCUCCUCUCUCCCCCGCCCUCCUUGCCAGACUGCGAGCUGUCUGGUCUCCAACCUCUGGGCGACUCGCGAACCUGGAGCCAGAAACUCAGCCCGAGGCGGAGGGCGCCAGAGGACUCCGCACCCAGAAAACCAGGAGGGAAGCUGCCUUCCAACCUGGGGGGCACCGUAACCAGCCCCGCUGAGAUGCAGCGAAUCCAAUGAAUGAAUGUGCACAUUCCGACGACGAAUUUUCCCGAAUUUUCUCAGCCUUUGGAAGGAGAGCCCAGGGUUUGGGACAUCUCAGACAGACAGUCAGACAGACAGGCAAACCGCAUCUCCUGAGGCAGACAGGCUCACAACAUGAGUGUGAGCCUGAAAUCAUAUACAGGUUCAACAUUCCCGAGGCCUCUUUGCCCGGCCUGGCGGGCGCCGAUCUCUCCUACCUUCACUCCUGCCAGGGCCUCAGGCAGAGACCCAUAGGACUCGGUCCCGCUGGCUCGGUCCAGGUCCCGCCUCGGGAAGCGCCUUCGUUACCUGCUCCUCGGCUCCCCACGGCCACAGAUGCAGGGCAGCCGCCUCCGCCCGGGGAGGGAAGCCCUGGCCACCACCGCAGCCGCCGCCACCCGCCCUCCUUCCCUCCCUCCCUCCUUCUUGCCCUCCCUCCCUCGCUCCCUCCCUCGCGCGCUGCCGCUUGCGGGGCCCUCCCGCGGGCAACCUGCUCUGGACCAAAUCCAGGUAUCUCCAAAAGAGAGAAAAAAAGAGAGGACUUCUUAGGUGGAAAAGGACAAAAACAAAAAAGAAAGACCUUUCAUUGCAUUUAUUUUUCAUGCUCUGACCAGUGGUCGGCCUCAGUUCAAAUGUCUGGGACACAGCCCAGCAACCGCAGAGGUGUGCAGGGCCUGCUGCCUCACCCACGCCGCCGACCGCCCCGCGCCCUGCGCGCUGCACGCUCCACAAGCUGGGCCGCCGCCCCCAGCAUUCCAAACACCCAACAGACCUCAAGGUCCAUCCUACAGACUCAACAUCCGGUUGCCCGCCUCUGCGCUGACCACAACCCUGGAGCCCUCUGCUCCGUCUGGGGGCAAAGUCGACACACAAAGCACCUUGUCUGUGCUCUGGAGCCCAGCCUGGACCCCCUCUGGGUGAAGCCGCCCGCCGGGCUACACUUGGGCUGCGUUCCUGCUGGGGACUUCCAACCUCAUCCCCUGCUUGGGACCUACACAAAGCCCAGUGCUCUGGCCUUUCCUACCCAUAGCCUCCCUUCGCCAGUUGUCGCCUUCCCCUUCACCUGUUCCCAAGAAGGGCUUCAUCUCCAAGCGAGCAGAGCCAAGGCCGAUGGCCGGAGCGAGGUCCCAGGGAGGCCACAGCGGAUCAGCCGGGCUAAGCUGGAGGCCCUGCAGCCGCUGAGAUAUCUGAGAGACCAAGCCUCUCCUUGGCGAGCUCUAGGCUUUUCCUCCUUCUCCUGCAAGUCUCAAACACUCACACGCCGCCGAGAGUUCAGCUCUAUAAAUCCUGCUCCUCUUUCCCAUAUCAUAAUUAAAAAAAACCAGUAGGGGAGGUUUUAACUUUUAUUGCGAUUUCUAGAGUUGGGCUGCGGAGCAUAUAUUAAGUUUACGCUUAUGCGCUCCCGGCGGGGAGGGUCCUUUAAGAAAUAAAAAUCCAUCUUAAUAUCUGC